CGGCGGCGUGCCUAAUACAUGCAAGUCGAACGGGAAGUAUUAAUUUCGAUUUUUACUUCUAGUGGCGAACGGGUGAGUAACGCGUUGGUGACCUGCCCCGAAGAGGGGGACAACUCCGCGAAAGCGGAGCUAAUACCCCAUGUGGUCUCUGAGAUUAGAAGCUCGGUGACUAAAGGAGCAAUCCACUUCGGGAGGGGCCUGCGCCCCAUCAGCUAGUUGGUAAGGUAACGGCCUACCAAGGCGAUGACGGGUAGGGGACCUGAGAGGGUGGUCCCCCACACUGGCACUGAAACACGGGCCAGACACCUACGGGUGGCAGCAGUAGGGAAUAUUGCACAAUGGGCGAAAGCCUGAUGCAGCAACGCCGCGUGCGCGAAGAAGGCCUUCGGGUUGUAAAGCGCUUUUCGGGGAGAUGAGGAAGGACAGUAUCCCCGGAAUAAGGCUCGGCUAACUACGUG
rnacentral:rRNA from 1 species